rnacentral:sRNA from 1 species
UUGUCCAUCCGCAGCUUCGGCUUUUCCAGUCUGGUGGCCCUUCCGGCCACCUCUUUAACCCUAGCUUUCCCUCCCCCUUUUUUCGGUCAGAGAUCGGCGGAGACCCUCGAAGUGCGCAAACUUGACACUCACCCUGACCGGACUGGGGUUUUAAGGGGUGUGGCAGGAGGUUUUGGACUCGAUGAGUUUCCACCGAAAUGUCGGAGAAGUCAGGCCAGAGCACAAAAGCAAAGGAUGGGAAAAAGUAUGCAACACUCAGUUUAUUUAAUACUUACAAGGGGAAAUCAUUAGAAACACAGAAAACCACAGCUCGACAUGGAUUACAGAGUCUUGGAAAAGUCGGUAUUUCACGGCGUAUGCCUCCACCUGCUAACCUCCCAAGUCUUAAAGCAGAAAACAAAGGCAAUGAUCCUAAUGUAAACAUUGUACCUAAAGAUGGCACAGGGUGGGCAUCAAAACAAGAGCAACAUGAAGAAGAAAAAACACCAGAAGUGCCACCAGCACAGCCAAAACCUGGGGUUGCAGCUCCCCCAGAAGUAGCACCUGCUCCCAAAUCAUGGGCCAGUAACAAGCAAGGUGGGCAAGGAGAUGGAAUCCAAGUGAAUAGUCAGUUUCAGCAAGAAUUUCCCAGCCUGCAGGCAGCUGGGGAUCAGGAAAAAAAAGAAAAGGAAACAAAUGAUGACAACUAUGGACCUGGACCCAGUUUACGUCCACCAA